AUUCAAGUCACAUAAAAAUAACAAUUCUUUCCCUUGAUUUGAAUUUUCUCCAUCAUCAAUAAAAUAAUCACAAAAAAUACUUUUUCUUGCCAUAUGCUCUCAAAAGGGACUGCUGAGCACUACAAAUAUUAACCAAGUCUAGGUAAUGCCUGAACUUGCUGACUGGAACUCCUUGGAUUAUCAUAUUUGCUGGAUUAUCAUGUGUAGAGAUUUUUUGUACAACUAUAAUUCCUUGAGAUAUAAUGUCCCAAAUGAAGUGAUAUCUCAUAUCAAUGUGUUUAGUUCGCUUAUGGUACAUUUGAUUCUUUAUGAGAUGUAUUGCACUUUAACUGUCACAAAAUACUGUUGGCUUGUUUUGUAUCAAUCCAAGAUCACCUACUAAACCUUGUAUUCAUAAAGCUUCCUUUACUGCCUCUACUAAAACUAUAUAUUUGGCCUCUGCGGUAGACAAAGCAAAUGUAGCUUUCAUUGUUGUCUUCCAACUAAUAGCACUUCUAGAGAGAGUAAACAAAUAACCUAUCAGAGAUCUCCUUUUAUCUAAGUCCCUUGCAAAAUCUGAA
rnacentral:misc_RNA from 1 species